AUGGCCGCCAAAGGCAGCGAUGGUAUUUGCGUGGCCCAGCCGCGGAGUGCUGACCCGCUCAACUGGGGGAAGGCGGCAGAGGAGCUGUCGGGGAGCCAUCUGGACGCCGUCAAGCGGAUGGUGGAGGAGUACCGCAGGCCGGUGGUGGUUAUGGAGGGCGCCAGCUUGACCAUCGCCCAGGUCGCGGCGGUGGCCGCGGCCGACGGUGCCAGGGUGAAGCUCAACGAGUCCGCCCGCGGCAGCGUCAAGGAGAGCAGCGACUGGGUCAUGACCAGCAUGGCGAACGGCACCGACAGCUAUGGCGUCACCACCGGCUUCGGCGCCACCUCCCAUCGGAGGACCAAGGAGGGCGGUGCUCUGCAGAGGGAGCUCAUCCGGUUCCUUAACGCCGGGGCGUUCGGCACCGGCAGCGAUGGUCACGUGCUGCCAGCGGCCACCACGCGCGCGGCGAUGCUUGUCCGCGUCAACACCCUGCUCCAAGGGUACUCCGGCAUCCGCUUCGAGAUUCUCGAGACCAUCGCCACGCUGCUCAACGCCAACGUUACACCGUGCCUGCCUCUCCGGGGCACCAUCACCGCUUCCGGCGAUCUCGUCCCGCUCUCCUACAUCGCGGGACUUGUCACCGGCCGCCCAAAUGCCGUGGCUGUGGCUCCCGAUGGCACCAAGGUUAAUGCCGCUGAAGCAUUUAAGAUUGCGGGCAUCCAGCAUGGCUUCUUUGAGCUGCAACCCAAGGAAGGCCUUGCUAUGGUUAAUGGCACGGCGGUGGGCUCUGGACUCGCGUCCAUUGUUCUCUUUGAAGCGAAUGUCCUUGGUGUGCUUGCUGAAGUUUUGUCAGCCGUGUUCUGCGAAGUGAUGAACGGCAAGCCAGAGUACACUGACCAUCUGACACACAAGCUGAAGCACCACCCUGGACAGAUCGAGGCCGCGGCAAUCAUGGAGCACAUCCUGGAGGGCAGCUCCUACAUGAUGCUCACAAAGAAGCUUGGUGAGCUCGACCCAUUGAUGAAGCCAAAGCAAGACAGAUAUGCUCUCCGCACAUCGCCGCAAUGGCUUGGGCCACAAAUUGAGGUCAUCCGUGCAGCGACGAAGUCGAUCGAGCGCGAGAUCAACUCCGUCAAUGACAACCCACUCAUUGACGUAUCUCGUGGAAAGGCAAUCCACGGUGGCAACUUCCAAGGCACACCCAUCGGUGUGUCGAUGGACAACACGAGGCUUGCCGUUGCUGCGAUCGGCAAGCUCAUGUUUGCCCAGUUCUCGGAGCUAGUGAAUGACUUCUACAACAAUGGUUUGCCCUCCAACCUCUCAGGUGGCCGCAACCCAAGCCUGGACUAUGGCUUCAAGGGUGCCGAGAUUGCCAUGGCUUCAUACUGCUCGGAGCUCCAAUUCUUGGGCAACCCUGUGACCAACCAUGUCCAGAGUGCGGAGCAACACAACCAAGACGUUAACUCCCUCGGAUUAAUCUCGGCUCGGAAGACUGCCGAGGCCAUCGACAUUCUGAAGCUCAUGUCCUCUACAUUUUUGGUUGCGCUGUGCCAAGCCAUCGACCUGCGCCACCUCGAGGAGAAUGUCAAGAACGCCGUCAAGAAUUGUGUCACAAGAGUGGCCAGGAAGACCCUGAUCACAAAUGACAUGGGUGGCCUCCACAACGCACGUUUUUGUGAGAAGGACCUGCUCCAAACAAUUGACCGCGAGGCGGUGUUUGCAUACGCGGACGACCCUUGCAGCGCCAACUACCCUCUCAUGAAGAAGAUGCGCGCGGUGCUGGUGGAGCACGCCCUGGCCAACGGUGAGGCUGAGCGCAAUGUGGAGACCUCGGUGUUUGCCAAGGUUGCCAAAUUUGAGCAGGAGCUCUGCGCGACACUGCCUCAGGAGGUUGAGGCUGCUAGAGGUGCAGUGGAGAAUGGCACUGCUGCAGAACCGAACCGUAUCACUGACUGCCGAUCAUACCCACUGUACCGGUUCAUGCGCGAGGAGCUGGGAACGGUGUACUUGACCGGAGAGAAGACGCGGUCACCUGGGGAGGAGGUGGACAAGGUGUUUAUUGCCAUGAACCAGGGUAAGCACAUCGACGCGCUGUUGGAAUGCCUCAAGGAGUGGAACGGCGAGCCUUUGCCUAUCUGCUAA
rnacentral:rRNA from 1 species